UACGGAGGGUGCAAGCGUUAACCGGAUUUAUUGGGCUUAAAGGGUGCGUAGGCGGCCCUGUAAGUCAGAGGUGAAAUUCUUGAGCUUAACUGAAGGAUGGCCAUUGAUACUGUAGGGCUUGAGUACAGAUGAGGUAGGCGGAAUUGAUGGUGUAGCGGUGAAAUGCAUAGAUACCAUCAAGAACACCGAUUGCGAAGGCAGCUUACUGAGCUGUAACUGACGCUGAUGCACGAAAGCGUGGGGAUCGAACAGG
rnacentral:rRNA from 1 species